rnacentral:lncRNA from 1 species
UGGCAGUUUUUUCUAUGUGAUCUAUGUGCACAUGCACACAUUGACACAUCCAAAACAUGAAAUCCACUUGUUAAAUUUGCAUAGUCUUUAUACAUUCACUUGAUGCAUAGGUAAAAGACUUUAGAAAACAUAAUAUCUAGAUCCUAGGUCAUUUUUAUAUUACAAAUCAUGAUGAACUAUGUAGAUUUUAAGAGUUCUACUAAAAUAGAAAGUGCAUAAUCCCAAUAGUUUGAAUUCUCAAAAGCAUUCAAGUUCUACUCUCACUCACUCUCUCUCUCUCUAA